rnacentral:rRNA from 1 species
AGAGUUUGAUCCUGGCUCAGGACGAACGCUGGCGGCGUGCCUAAUACAUGCAAGUCGAACGCUUCUUUUUCCACCGGAGCUUGCUCCACCGGAAAAAGAAGAGUGGCGAACGGGUGAGUAACACGUGGGUAACCUGCCCAUCAGAAGGGGAUAACACUUGGAAACAGGUGCUAAUACCGUAUAACAAUCGAAACCGCAUGGUUUUGAUUUGAAAGGCGCUUUCGGGUGUCGCUGAUGGAUGGACCCGCGGUGCAUUAGCUAGUUGGUGAGGUAACGGCUCACCAAGGCCACGAUGCAUAGCCGACCUGAGAGGGUGAUCGGCCACAUUGGGACUGAGACACGGCCCAAACUCCUACGGGAGGCAGCAGUAGGGAAUCUUCGGCAAUGGACGAAAGUCUGACCGAGCAACGCCGCGUGAGUGAAGAAGGUUUUCGGAUCGUAAAACUCUGUUGUUAGAGAAGAACAAGGAUGAGAGUAACUGUUCAUCCCUUGACGGUAUCUAACCAGAAAGCCACGGCUAACUACGUGCCAGCAGCCGCGGUAAUACGUAGGUGGCAAGCGUUGUCCGGAUUUAUUGGGCGUAAAGCGAGCGCAGGCGGUUUCUUAAGUCUGAUGUGAAAGCCCCCGGCUCAACCGGGGAGGGUCAUUGGAAACUGGGAGACUUGAGUGCAGAAGAGGAGAGUGGAAUUCCAUGUGUAGCGGUGAAAUGCGUAGAUAUAUGGAGGAACACCAGUGGCGAAGGCGGCUCUCUGGUCUGUAACUGACGCUGAGGCUCGAAAGCGUGGGGAGCAAACAGGAUUAGAUACCCUGGUAGUCCACGCCGUAAACGAUGAGUGCUAAGUGUUGGAGGGUUUCCGCCCUUCAGUGCUGCAGCUAACGCAUUAAGCACUCCGCCUGGGGAGUACGACCGCAAGGUUGAAACUCAAAGGAAUUGACGGGGGCCCGCACAAGCGGUGGAGCAUGUGGUUUAAUUCGAAGCAACGCGAAGAACCUUACCAGGUCUUGACAUCCUUUGACCACUCUAGAGAUAGAGCUUCCCCUUCGGGGGCAAAGUGACAGGUGGUGCAUGGUUGUCGUCAGCUCGUGUCGUGAGAUGUUGGGUUAAGUCCCGCAACGAGCGCAACCCUUAUUGUUAGUUGCCAUCAUUCAGUUGGGCACUCUAGCAAGACUGCCGGUGACAAACCGGAGGAAGGUGGGGAUGACGUCAAAUCAUCAUGCCCCUUAUGACCUGGGCUACACACGUGCUACAAUGGGAAGUACAACGAGUCGCGAAGUCGCGAGGC